rnacentral:rRNA from 1 species
AUGGCGAUCCCCGUAAGCUCCUUGACCUCCGGAUCCUUGCCGCGAUACAGUCCGGAGGUUUCUCGGCAACGACGGAGCUCACUUGUGUCUGCAUCGCCUCGUCGCCGGCAAAUCCUCGCUGGCCUGGCCAUCAAGUCGCGGGGCAUCAACCGUGUCCAGCCGACGACCAGAGGAGCAACACAGAUCCCCGCAGCCGCAGCUGGUCCAAGCUCCGGAGACCAAGCAGGAGGAAACUUCCCAGUUCCCAACGUGCCUUCAUGGGUCAAGUUGCUCGUCGCUGUCUUCUUUGCUGCAGUACCUCUUUACAGGCAGAUGAGAGCCCUGGAAGAUAAGGUGGAGCAAACGGCAGAAGUAGCAAUUGAGGUGGUCGAAAAAGUGGCUGAGGCAGCUGAGAAAAUUGCUGACGAUGUCUUUGAAGCAUUUCCCGGUAAUGAUAACGUCAAAAAGGCAGCAUCCAGGAUCAAGGCCAUCGUAGAUGAAAUUGAGAAGGACGCGGAAAAAGCCGAGGCCCUAAUCGAGAAGGUUGAUGAGAUAGAGAAAGAGAUGGAUUCUGUAGUGGAUUCUGUAAUUGAGAAGGUCAAGAAGGAGAGAUCAUUGAGAAAGAACUCAGUGAAAGGAGACGAUGUCGAUAGGAAAUAG